CUGUGGCAGUGGGUUCCACAUUCUAUCCAUUCUCUGGGGGAAGAUGUCCCAAACAACAUUUGAGAGGUUGCGGACCAGCGGAGGACCCCCAUGCUUCCUCAUCCUCACCAGAUUGGAGCAGGACGCCUUGGAGCUCGAGAAGUACCGUGCACUCGGUCAGCCGGCCGCGGAAAGGCUGGGGUGUCAGACGAAAGUUAGAGUGCAGAGCACUGAGAUUUGCCUCAAAGCAGCAUUCUCAGGACCUCCAGGAGCUAUCCCUGACACUGAAGGACCACCAGGCUCCAGAAGCACCUGUGUCACACCUGCUCUCUGAAGAAGGCACCAGUGCAGUUACCAACACCUCCGGUGGGCGUUAGACCCUCGACUAAAACGUCAGUGCACAGCGUUCCAACAGAGUUUUGCUGACAUUGAAGCCGGCAGUGCUGGUUACACCUGGGCCGGAAUAUUACGCUUGUCGGGCUGGUGCACGCCCACCUGAACCAAACAUGCAUAAAAUGACGCACGACCACGUAGGGAAUGCUGAACAAGACCUGUAUCUUUCAACCAGAAUAGGAGGGUAGCUGCCAUGGAUACACUCACUGAACUUUACUGCAUGGUGAUAGAUUUUGUAUCCUGACUUAUCAUCCACAAGGAGGGUGGGCGAGGGAUUUUCUGACGGAGGGAAAUAAGGUUGACAGUGACACUUCUUUCAUUGUGUGCGCGUUUAU